rnacentral:rRNA from 1 species
CGGGUGAGUAACGCGUAGGUAAUCUACCCUAGAGUUUGGAAUAACCUGCCGAAAGGCGGGCUAAUACUGGAUAGAGCGACGAAAUCCGUAAUUGGGUUUUUCGGGAAAGGGAGGCCGCAAGGUCCCUCGCUUUAGGAUGAGCCUGCGUCCCAUUAGGUAGUUGGCGGGGUAACGGCCCACCAAGCCUGUGAUGGGUAGCUGGUCUGAGAGGAUGAUCAGCCACACUGGAACUGAAACACGGUCCAG